rnacentral:rRNA from 1 species
AUCUAUGACCAUAUCACCAUAAAUGUGCCCAAUCUCGUCUUGUCCCAGAAGCUAAGCAGGGUCAGGUCUGGUUAGUACUUGGAUGGGAGAAAGCAAAUAAUUUUGAUU